rnacentral:lncRNA from 1 species
CCAAUUUAUACCCACUCCAGCAGGGGAGGGAUAUCUGUUUCUCCUCAUCUCGGGGACAUGAAAGGGUAUCUAUCUCAUUGAGGUUUGAAUUUGCAUUUCCCUGAUGUAAGUAGAUUUCUGAUUUAAGCAGAAAAGGAAAUUCUUACAAGCAGCUAAAAUCUCCGGGAGGGCCGGCCGUCAGGCUCAAAGCUAAGCAGACAGAAAUGUGCAGAUCAUGCCAAGAGCGGGCUGGUCCGCUGCUAGUCCCAGAUGUCAGAGCGCACACUGACACGGCUGACAGCCGACCCCGGGUGCUGGUGGAAGCCCACAGAAGGGGCAGGCAGGCGCUGCCGCUGCCAUGACUCAUCACCGUCCUGGAGGCUGCUUUGCUUCGUGACCCCAGCUUCCGAUGAAUUGCAGAAUGGAUACUCGAG